rnacentral:rRNA from 1 species
GAUUAGAUACCCUGGUAGUCCACGCCGUAAACGAUGAUAACUAGCUGUCCGGGCACUUGGUGCUUGGGUGGCGCAGCUAACGCAUUAAGUUAUCCGCCUGGGGAGUACGGCCGCAAGGUUAAAACUCAAAUGAAUUGACGGGGGCCCGCACAAGCGGUGGAGCAUGUGGUUUAAUUCGAUGCAACGCGAAGAACCUUACCUACUCUUGACAUCCAGAGAACUUAGCAGAGAUGCUUUGGUGCCUUCGGGAACUCUGAGACAGGUGCUGCAUGGCUGUCGUCAGCUCGUGUUGUGAAAUGUUGGGUUAAGUCCCGCAACGAGCGCAACCCUUAUCCUUUGUUGCCAGCGGUUCGGCCGGGAACUCAAAGGAGACUGCCAGUGAUAAACUGGAGGAAGGUGGGGAUGACGUCAAGUCAUCAUGGCCCUUACGAGUAGGGCUACACACGUGCUACAAUGGCAUAUACAAAGAGAAGCGACCUCGCGAGAGCAAGCGGACCUCAUAAAGUAUGUCGUAGUCCGGAUUGGAGUCUGCAACUCGACUCCAUGAAGUCGGAAUCGCUAGUAAUCGUAGAUCAGAAUGCUACGGUGAAUACGUUCCCGGGCCUUGUACACACCGCCCGUCACACCAUGGGAGUGGGUUGCAAAAGAAGUAGGUAGCUUAACCUUCGGGAGGGCGCUUACCACUUUGUGAUUCAUGACUGGGGUGAAGUCGUAACAAGG